rnacentral:miRNA from 1 species
UUUUGGAACGGAGGGAGUAUA